CCUACGGGAGGCAGCAGUCGGGAAUCUUGCGCAAUGGGCGAAAGCCUGACGCAGCAACGCCGCGUGCGGGAUGAAGGCCUUCGGGUUGUAAACCGCUUUCAGUGGGGACGAAAACAGACGGUACCCACAGAAGAAGCCCCGGCCAACUACGUGCCAGCAGCCGCGGUAACACGUAGGGGGCGAGCGUUGUCCGGAAUCAUUGGGCGUAAAGAGCUCGUAGGCGGCUCAGUAAGUCGGGUGUGAAACCCCCAGGCUCAACCUGGGGACGCCACCCGAUACUGCUGUGGCUAGAGUCCAGUAGGGGAGUGUGGAAUUCCCGGUGUAGCGGUGAAAUGCGCAGAUAUCGGGAGGAACACCAGUAGCGAAGGCGGCUCGCUGGGCCAUUCCUGACGCUGAGACGCGAAAACUAGGGGAGCAAACAGGAUUAGAUACCCUGGUAGUCCACGCCGUAAACGAUGAACACUAGGUGUGGGGGGAGUCGAAUCCCUCUGUGCCGCAGCCAACGCGUUAAGUGUUCCGCCUGGGGAGUACGGCCGCAAGGCUAAAACUCAAAAGGAUUGACGGGGGCCCGCACAAGCAGCGGAGCAUGUUCUUUAAUUCGAUGCAACGCGAAGAACCUUACCUGGGCUUGACAUGGUGCUGCAAGCGCACGGAAACGUGUGACCUUCGAGGGUGCACCACAGAUGCUGCAUGGCUGUCGUCAGCUCGUGUCGUGAGAUGUUGGGUUAAGUCCCGCAACGAGCGCAACCCCCGUGGCGUGUUGCCAGCAUUAAGUUGGGGACUCACGCCAGACUGCCGGUGACAAACCGGAGGAAGGGUGGGGAUGACGUCAAGUCAUCAUGGCUCUUACGCCCAGGGCUAGAAACGUGCUACAAUGGCGCAUACAAAGGGUAGCAAGACCGCAAGGUGGAGCGAAUCUCAUCAAAAUGCGUCCAAGUUCGGGUCGGGGUCUGCAACUCGACCCCGUGAAAGGCGGAGUUGCUAG
rnacentral:rRNA from 1 species